UUUUAGAGUUUGAUCCUGGCUCAGGACGAACGCUGGCGGCGUGCCUAAUACAUGCAAGUCGAGCGAAGUUGUAAAAGCUUGCUUCUAAAAAUUAGCGGCGGACGGGUGAGUAACACGUGGGCAACCUGCCUGUAAGACUGGGAUAACUUCGGGAAACCGGAGCUAAUACCGGAUAAUUCUUUUCCUCUCAUGAGGAAAAGCUGAAAGAUGGUUUCGGCUAUCACUUACAGAUGGGCCCGCGGCGCAUUAGCUAGUUGGUGAGGUAACGGCUCACCAAGGCAACGAUGCGUAGCCGACCUGAGAGGGUGAUCGGCCACACUGGGACUGAGACACGGCCCAGACUCCUACGGGAGGCAGCAGUAGGGAAUCUUCCGCAAUGGACGAAAGUCUGACGGAGCAACGCCGCGUGAGUGAUGAAGGUUUUCGGAUCGUAAAACUCUGUUGUUAGGGAAGAACAAGUAUCGGAGUAACUGCCGGUACCUUGACGGUACCUAACCAGAAAGCCACGGCUAACUACGUGCCAGCAGCCGCGGUAAUACGUAGGUGGCAAGCGUUGUCCGGAAUUAUUGGGCGUAAAGCGCGCGCAGGUGGUUUCUUAAGUCUGAUGUGAAAGCCCCCGGCUCAACCGGGGAGGGUCAUUGGAAACUGGGAGACUUGAGUGCAGAAGAGGAAAGUGGAAUUCCAAGUGUAGCGGUGAAAUGCGUAGAGAUUUGGAGGAACACCAGUGGCGAAGGCGACUUUCUGGUCUGUAACUGACACUGAGGCGCGAAAGCGUGGGGAGCGAACAGGAUUAGAUACCCUGGUAGUCCACGCCGUAAACGAUGAGUGCUAAGUGUUAGGGGGUUUCCGCCCCUUAGUGCUGCAGCAAACGCAUUAAGCACUCCGCCUGGGGAGUACGGCCGCAAGGCUGAAACUCAAAGGAAUUGACGGGGGCCCGCACAAGCGGUGGAGCAUGUGGUUUAAUUCGAAGCAACGCGAAGAACCUUACCAGGUCUUGACAUCCUCUGACAACUCUAGAGAUAGAGCGUUCCCCUUCGGGGGACAGAGUGACAGGUGGUGCAUGGUUGUCGUCAGCUCGUGUCGUGAGAUGUUGGGUUAAGUCCCGCAACGAGCGCAACCCUUGUCCUUAGUUGCCAGCAUUCAGUUGGGCACUCUAAGGAGACUGCCGGUGACAAACCGGAGGAAGGUGGGGAUGACGUCAAAUCAUCAUGCCCCUUAUGACCUGGGCUACACACGUGCUACAAUGGAUGGUACAAAGGGCUGCAAGACCGCGAGGUUUAGCCAAUCCCAUAAAACCAUUCUCAGUUCGGAUUGCAGGCUGCAACUCGCCUGCAUGAAGCCGGAAUCGCUAGUAAUCGCGGAUCAGCAUGCCGCGGUGAAUACGUUCCCGGGCCUUGUACACACCGCCCGUCACACCACGAGAGUUUGUAACACCCGAAGUCGGUGGGGUAACCGUAAGGAGCCAGCCGCCUAAGGUGGGACAGAUGAUUGGGGUGAAGUCGUA
rnacentral:rRNA from 1 species